GAUUGACAAUGCCAUUUGGGAGGGUUUGAAGGGAAAAAAAAUAAGGCGACUGAGUUAGGUAGGACGAAUCCGUUGGCGCGAAUAAAAUAUGGAGCAAUUUUUUAUGUCAUCCUCUCUGCAUAGUAAACACCCAAAUUGUUGGAAAGUAGUGCACUGUUUUCUUUCGGGUUUUCUUUUGUUGACACUGCAUUCCAGAAGACCUGUUCAGUGCGAGGUCAAUUUCUGAUCUGAGAAGAAACUGCCUGUGGUUGGUGGGCCGUACAUCAAAGUACAGCCCAAUGUUUGACCCAUAAUAGGUCCAGCCGAAACAUACAACAACUCUCUCUCCUAGGAUUUACAGGCCGCAGCCCAUUGGCUGUUUGUUUCUUCCCUAGGCGAAGCCCAACACAACUGAACCACUCCAAUCU
rnacentral:lncRNA from 1 species